GGAAAAAUUACGAGGCAUCUCUUUAUCAAUAAUACAAUCAAAAUUCUCAAUCAAUUUCUCAAAUAUUUAAUCAGUCAUUUAUUUAUGCUACAAUUCUCACGUAAGGUUUUUGUUAGGCAUGAUAGUUGGAUAUUAAGAGUACUAAGUAUGACACUUGGAUGAAUAAUGACGGGUACUAAGAAUAUUACAAUAAAACUGGGACAUGAGAAGGAUUUUAAAUGUAUUCAUAUGGUGAAGGUG
rnacentral:lncRNA from 1 species